ACACUGGUUUCCUGUCUCGCUUCCGUUUCCAUUGGGACCUGUUGUUUUGGUGUGAGGUUGGGCUGUGUUGGCCACCGAGAGGCCGCGGAUGAACUGCGAAGAGCGGCGUUACUCACCUGCACUUGUGAUCGUUUGAAGCGCACUGUAACCUACGUGGCGCUUAGGAGCCAGGAGCUGGCUGAUAGGCCAGUUAGCCUGCUCGAGGUAAUUGGUGUGGCGUGGCGAUCCUUGGAAACGCUGUGCCGGUGACUCGCUUGUUUUAAGCUUUCAUCGGCGGCCCCUCCGGCAAGAACCAGCCAGUGUGUGGAACCCAUUGAGUGUAGUACGUCGGCAGCCUGGUGGUGAGAGGAACCCCUUGUGUGCGCACACAGUGAAAGAUAAGUAGUACUACAGAUCCUUAUAGGUUUAGUGAUCUCAGUGGUGCCCCAGGCUGCACGACCAGGUUCAUUCCUUUCUCUCUCUCUCUCUCUCUCUCUCUCUCUC